AAUAAGUGCAGUUUUGCACUAUUCAUGUCUAACCUUUGACCAUUCAUCUUAUUUGAAUUUUUUUAAUAAUUAGUAUUUUUAUUGUUAUUAGAUAAUAAAACAUGAAUAGUAUUUUAUAUGGGACUAAUUUUUUUCAAUUUUUUCAUAAUUUUUUCAAAUAAGACGGACGGUCAAACGUUGGACACGGAUACCCACGGCUGCACUUGGG
rfam:Oryza barthii chromosome 3, whole genome shotgun sequence.